rnacentral:pre_miRNA from 1 species
AAGUGGUAAUGAUAGAGAGAGACAGGGAACAAGCAGAGCAUGGAUUGAGUUUACUAAAACAUUAAACGACUCUGUUUUGUCUCUACCCAUGCACUGCCUCUUCCCUGGCUCCCUCUUUUCUCUCUCUCU